GCUCCCGGAAGCGGCACGGGAGGCGACCGUGCUCGCCGUUGGCAGGCUAGGGUUGGCGGCGGCGUAUUCUGUUUGUUUUAAACGAAGGAGCGGAGGGAGGGGCCGCGCCGCGGAGCGUGCCUAAGGUGAAAGGGCUGCCGUGCAGCCAGGCAGAGGCGAGGAAGGCUUCUCCAUCGUCGCCACCGCCCGCCUGUUUCGCCGGCAACAGGUUCCCCCGGGACGGGAGGGGCCGCAGCGCCGCGCAGCUCGCAGCGCUGAACGUCGCGGAAAUCCCUUGGCCGGCCGAGCCUCCGCAGCCGCGACCCGGCUUCUCUCCGUCCGAGUCCCCCGAGCCUCUCCGAACCCCCGCCAGCCCUUGCCGAAAUCACCCUAAACCCGUUGAAAUUAAUUCCCAGCUGUCCGAAUUUUCCUUCCAACAUUAACUGACUACCUGUCUCCGCCAAGCUGACUGAACUCUACCGAACUCUUACCCUGAAAGCCCCUGAGAGUCCAAAAUAUAUUUUUCCAGCCCGAAAUCUAAAUCCCAGUUCUCUGUAUGAAAACCUCCAGAAACCCAGACUCUUACUUCCUUCGGCCACGGACUCGUUCGAACAUCGUGGACAUCACCUUCCCACAUUUUUACCGCAGUCUUUGGCUCCGAUUCUUUGUCCCUGCCUCUUGGGCAGCAUCCUAUCCCUGUUUCUUUCCACCUUUGAGGAUUCCUCUACCUCUUUAAAGGCCUGCUUUCUUUGCUUUCUCUUCUCACCUUUGGCAUUGGCACACUGGGGUCAUAUCUUUAGUUCCCUUGACUCCACCAUCUAAGCCAAGGGUGUCCAAUCUUUUGGCUUCCCUGGGCUACAUUGGAAGGAGAAAAAUUGUCUUGGACCACAUAUAAAAUAUUCUAACGCUAAUGGUAGCUGAUGAAACUUUUAAAAAAUCUCAUCAUGUUUUAAGAAGUUUACGAAUUUGUGCUGAGCCGCAUUCAAAGCCGUCCUGGGCCUAAGUCCUUGCUAUUUUUCCUCUUCAAUUUCCUUCAAUCCAUAGUUCUCUAGGUUAUUUUCCCACCCUUUCCCAAGAUUCGGAUAUCCCUUCAUUCUUGCUGAGUUCAUCUCCUAUGCCUAUUCCUACAUACUUGCUGAGUUCAUCUUCUAAUGUCCUCAUCCUGGUUUCUUCCUGAACCUGAAAUCCAGCUAACCUUACUUUUUCAUCCCAUCAAACCCCUGCUGUUGCCAGCCCAGCACUCACGAAGAUCUUUACAUACACCAAAUAUUAAAUUAGGGCCGGUACCUAGACAUUGUCUCUGCACUCUGCUGGCAUAUUUUCCCCUGGACCACGAACCCUUCGUACCUAGUAACUUGCCACCUGUGUUUAUAAAUACCAGCAAUUUGAUUUACAGGGUGAAUUUGUCACUAUUGUUUACUUUUAAAUGAAGUUACUGUAUUUGUUGUUUCCAUUAAAGGCGACAUUAUAAAGCCUAGGCCUCAUAUCCAAAGCAAAUAAAGUCUCAAUUUUUUAAUUAAAAGUAACAAAAGGAAACCUCACACUUCUGAACAACAAUGACAAGAAGGAAUGCCUAUAAUUGGUUUGGGUCACAAUGUACAUAUUGAAAUAAAAUUUUUAUUAAGUAUCAACUUCCAGGUACACAAUGAAGUUUUAAAUGUUUAUCUGUGACAUAUGAAGAACAAAGCAAUCUAAACUGAUGUAAGCAGGCUGUCAUAAGGUACAUGCUGAGGAAUUUAUUCAACAAAUUGAAUAAAUUUAUUCAAUAAAUAAAUAAUUAUUCAAUAAAUAAUAUAUUUAAUAAAUUUAAUAAAU
rnacentral:lncRNA from 1 species